rnacentral:tRNA from 1 species
AUUUAAAUAGCUUAUAAUAUUAGAGCGUAACAUUGAAGCUGUUAAGGAGAAUAUUUUCUUUAAAUA